GAACGGAAAGGCCCUGCUUGCAGGGUACUCGAGUGGCGAACGGGUGAGUAACACGUGGGUGAUCUGCCCUGCACUUCGGGAUAAGCCUGGGAAACUGGGUCUAAUACCGGAUAGGAGCCAUUUUUAGUGUGAUGGUUGGAAAGUUUUUUCGGUGUAGGAUGAGCUCGCGGCCUAUCAGUUUGUUGGUGGGGUAAUGGCCUACCAAGGCGGCGACGGGUAGCCGGCCUGAGAGGGUGGACGGCCACAUUGGGACUGAGAUACGGCCCAGACUCCUACGGGAGGCAGCAGUGGGGAAUAUUGCACAAUGGGCGCAAGCCUGAUGCAGCGACGCCGCGUGGGGGAUGACGGCCUUCGGGUUGUAAACUCCUUUCGCUAGGGACGAAGCUUUUUGUGACGGUACCUAGAUAAGAAGCACCGGGUAACUACGUGCCAGCAGCCGCGGUAAUACGUAGGGUGCGAGCGUUGUCCGGAAUUACUGGGCGUAAAGGGCUCGUAGGUGGUUUGUCGCGUCGUCUGUGAAAUUCCGGGGCUUAACUCCGGGCGUGCAGGCGAUACGGGCAUAACUUGAGUACUGUAGGGGUAACUGGAAUUCCUGGUGUAGCGGUGAAAUGCGCAGAUAUCAGGAGGAACACCGAUGGCGAAGGCAGGUUACUGGGCAGUUACUGACGCUGAGGAGCGAAAGC
rnacentral:rRNA from 1 species